rnacentral:misc_RNA from 1 species
UCCGGCUUUCACCGGCUGUCUCGUUAGAGUGCCCAACUGAAUGCUGGCAACUAAUGAUAAGGGUUGCGCUCGUUGCGGGACUGAACCCAACAUCUCACGACACGAGCUGACGACAACCAUGCACCACCUGUCUCCUCUGUCCCGAAGGCCUGCAAUAUCUCUAUUGCAUUCAGAGGGAUGUCAAGUCCUGGUAAGGUUCUUCGCGUUGCUUCGAAUUAAACCACAUGCUCCACCGCUUGUGCGGGCCCCCGUCAAUUCCUUUGAGUUUCAGCCUUGCGGCCGUACUCCCCAGGCGGAGUGCUUAAUGUGUUAACUUCGGCACUGAGGGUGGAGACCCCCAACACCUAGCACUCAUCGUUUACCGCGUGGACUA